rnacentral:tRNA from 1 species
GUGUUGUAGCUCAAUGGUAGAGUACUUGCCUCGCAUGCAUGAGGCCGUGGGUUCGAUCCUCAGCACCACACA